GCUCCGGUGGCCAAGUGGCUAGAGCGUCCGGCUCAGAUGCGGGAGGUCGUGGGUUAGAUUCCCGGUUGAGUCA